rnacentral:rRNA from 1 species
CAACGAGCGCAACCCUCGACCUUAGUUGCCAGCAUUCAGUUGGGCACUCUAAGGUGACUGCCGGCUAAAAGUCGGAGGAAGGUGGGGAUGACGUCAAAUCAUCAUGCCCCUUAUGACCUGGGCUACACACGUGCUACAAUGGGCGGUACAAAGGGUCGCGAACCCGCGAGGGGGAGCCAAUCCCAAAAAGCCGCUCUCAGUUCGGAUUGCAGGCUGCAACUCGCCUGCAUGAAGCCGGAAUCGCUAGUAAUCGCGGAUCAGCAUGCCGCGGUGAAUACGUUCCCGGGCCUU